GACAUGUUAAGUUCAGCUUAUCGAGGCAUCGCAUAUAAAGACAACCUGUGGGAGCGAUUUACUGAAAAAGUUUCGCUAUUUUGCUUUUUCUGAUUUUCAGGUAUAGAUUUCUGCCGGUUUGUUGUUUUGCUUUCCUUGAUGCUUUUACUGACUGUGCUUCUGUUUCUUUUAGGGUAUGAAGGCUACUGCACUUGCAAUUGGGGUAACAUCAAUUGUGUUAGCCAGUUACUUGUGCCGUUUAGAAAGUACCGUAUUUCCAAAGCUCGUGUUUGUAAGAUCCCUGAUUGCAUGGCUAUUGGAUCUUAUCCCUAUUAUUGGGUUUUGACUGACCAAACUAUGAUUGAUGAAGUAUUUGAAAUAGAGGCUCCAAAACUUCCAUGUUAUUUUGCGUUAGACUCUAUUUCUUUGUGUCACACUGUUGCUGAGAUAGAAAAGUUCAUAAGUAAUGCAUUGUAGAUUAAACUGUUUUUUUUGUGAUGGGUACGACUAUAUCUAUAUGUUGUGAUUUUCACCGGUCUUUUUUUGGACCUUGGCAGAUAUCAUGGGAAUUGUUCUCUGUGCCUUUCCUGUCAGGGAGGUUUAUUUUGAAGGGGGACCAUCUAUUGCACGGGACUAUGUAAUUGUUAAUUAUGAGUAGGUGUUGAUUUUAGUUUUGUUCUGUCUGUUAUUUCUACUGCUUGUCUUUGACUUGAUAACUUUUGUUUAUUUGACACUGUAAUUAAAGCAUGAAGCCUAUUAUUGACACUCUGGAAUGAGUUCGAGGCCCUAGAGGGGACUAUUAUUUUGGCUAAUAUUGCAGAGAAUUUGUUUGUAAUUUGUAUCAGGAUUAGAGUCAUUGCAAAUAGCUGUAGGUUUCUUUCGUUUUCACUUGGCUUUUUGUUUUUUGGUCCAUGCAGGUUUUGUUGUUUGAAUACAGUAGUAAUUGAUCUUUUUUACUAUAAUUUCUCGAUGUCUUUUCCAGAUUUGUCAUUGUCUACUCAAUUCUCAUCUGUUAUAUUGGUUUCACCGGAUGUACAGCAAGCAGGAAAUCUUCGGGUGUGGUUUUGUUGUUUUUAUGUUUUGAAGUUGUUUCCUUUUUUGUUGUGUCCUGUUGUGCUUUUAGGCUUUAUUAUGUUUUGUCUUUGACAGAUCAGUAUACUUUGUUUAGGUUCCAGGGGAAAAGUUCGCAAUUGAUUCGGAUGCUUCAUGAACGGAGUUAUGCUAACCCAUGUGUAUUGUUGCCUCUGGUUACUUUUAAUCAUAUAAGUCCAAUCUCAUCGAUUUCUCAAGCAACUAAAUUUGUGAGUGUGCCAUUGAUUUUUCUGGAGGUGCGGCUUUUUCUCCCUCUAAUCUUUUUUGUUUUGUUAGCUAAAUCAGCUAAUACCCAUUUUUUUUUAUUUUUAUGUAUGUUUCUGACUGUAGGAUAUGGGAACUGCUUGGAUAAAGGGUAGAGUGUCUCUUGAGUAUAUGAUGGGUAGACUAUGGUACUUGGCCUGCCCACAUUGUUAUCUUCCUAACGAUUUUGCUUUGAAUUGGGGGAUCAUGUGUGUGGGCGAGCGAUUUAUAUUUACCCAAGGUAUAAUGUUUUUAUGUUGGUUACUGUAAAUUUUUUUAUGUGUUGUUUCUAUAGUUGCCUGAUCUAGGGAAUUAUUGCCUUUGCUUUUUCUUUGUGCUGAGUUGUUUAUAAAUUUGUAAUGUAAGGGCUUGCGUGACUCUUAUGAUCACGGAUGAGACUGGAUCUUUGAAUGUAGUAGCCAUGGGAGACAAGGCUGAAAAGUUGAUUGGUAUUAGUGUUCACUGUUUAUUUCAAGCGCAGCAAGAGGUACUUCUUUUUUCUUGGCUUAGCUAUAAAAGUGAAAAAUUAUCUUGUGUGACCAAUUAUUUGUCAUGCCAAUGAGUUGUUGUAUUCAAUUGGUUGAUAGAAUGUGCAUCUUACUGAUCGUGUUGCAAGUGAACUCGAGGGAAAAGUUUUGUUGUGAGGGCUGUGAAGGGUGCUCUAUAUACAAUUGUCACUGUCUACGACGCAAAUGAAAUUGGAAGCAAUACUUGCUGAUGCCUUUUAGAUGUUUAUCUAAUUUGCCACUCUUUGUAUUUGGUUGUGUCAACUAUAGUUUAUGAGACAUUAGACUUUAUUUGCUGGUUGUAAUUAGGUUGAGUUAUGGUGAACUUGUAAUGUUGUUGGUUCAUGGAUUAUGUUUCUUUUUGAAUCUGUAUGUAUUUGGAUAUUAAUCCAAUGUUAACUGCUCCUAUCAUGGCUGUCAACAAAUGUAAUUACCACUCUUGUUGAAGUAAUGGACAUGUCCAUUAGAAAGGGUAUACCAAAUGUAAGAUUCUUUAGUGUUAUUUUUGUUUUGUUCUUAUUUUAUCAUGGCCUGAAACCAUGCUCACUAAACUAUAAUUUUCUUGUAUAUUUAUUGUGAAGAGAAAGUAAAAAAUCAGACUUAGUUGUCAUUACUAUGAUGUUUGAAGAUUUAUUUUCUCUUUGUUAAAUUGAAUACAUUUGCCUUCUUAAGCUUAGAAAUUAUGUCCAACGCCAUGUCCAAAGAUAAUAUUAUUUAGGCUAUAUAAAACUAUCAAAAUUUUCUUUAAGAGAUAAUUGAAAAGAGGUGAUCAAUGAGAGAAUAUAUAAGUUUUUUUUUUUAUUGUUUAUGAUCAUAUACAAAAUAUAUUCAUAUCUGAUUCAAAAGAAUUAGCUCACCUCAUACCAUUCUUGCGCAAGUAUUGGACAUGUCCUUCUACGGACAAAGUGGAGUUGAUUCUAUAGGUGGUCCAAGCUAAAAAGUGAAAUUGUUGACGGGCCUGUACUAUUUUCUAUCCUAAUCAGGUACACUAUCACUUGUAAUUACCCUUUAAAGACGUGAUCCUUGCUGCAGAUUGCUAAGUUCCAUUAUGCCUUUUAAUUUUGUCGUAGUCUAGCCAUAGUCCUUUUUUGUACCUUUAUUUUUAAUAGGUAUAGAUACAGGAUUGAGUUUGUGCUAAGUGGCUACUGAAUUUGUUUGUUUGUUUAUGAUUUUGCAGAUUCAUUGGCAUAUUGAGAGAAAUAUUGCCGGGCCUUAUUGAAGG
rnacentral:lncRNA from 1 species